UAGGGUAGUGAUGGAAUUGGUAGACAUGAGUAGUUUAGGACUAUUUGAUUUUAAUAUCUUAUCCGUUCAAGUCGGAUUUACCUUAA
rnacentral:tRNA from 2 species